UGAAGAAACUAAUAGGAAAGAGAGAAGGAAAUAAGGAGGAAAAAGGAACAUCGUGAUUAGUUUGAGCUAUAUAUAAGUAGUAAGUACCACCAAACAUAUAAACACAAUAUUCAGUCACCAAUUGCUUCUACAUCCUAAUAAUACAUUUCAGCAAACAAAAAAUUUGUGGUUCACCAAAAUGGCAGGAUUUUGAGCUAUCAGACUUAACACCGAGAGAUUUAGCGCAUCGAAGUUUGUUUCCUAAUGGGGACAACAAGAAACAAAAAGUGGCACAACUAGGCGCAGGGCCAAGGAAGAAUUUGCAACUUGAGGUGAUGGAGAUUAAAGAAUGAUGGUCCCUCUUAAUUUGGCCACUAUCUUGGUCAAUUAUUUGAACAGAGUUACACAACGAGUUAAUUAUCAUUUAGGUUAUCCAGUGAAUAUAUGUUAUGAUCACUAUGCAUCUUUAGCACCACUUUUGCAGUUUCACCUAAACAAUUGUGGUGAUCCUUUCCUUCAAAACACUGUCAAUUUCUAUUCUAAAGACUUUGAAGUGGCUCUUUUGGAUUGGUUUGCGCAACUUUGGGAAAUUCAUUCCUAAAAAAGCAUGCAAUCGUUGGGACAAACAUGAAUUUUUUUGUAAUUUAACCCCAAGCCCUCAAUAAUCUUCUCGCUCUCAUAAAAUGAAAAAGGCAACUUCUCACCCACAGGUAAUGCAUCCUUCAAUAAACCAAGCAAGGCAUUAAAAGA